GGGGGUGUCACGGUGUAUGACUAUAUAGGUUUUGUAGGUGAGAAACAGUCGCUUCUUUUGCGAAAAGUAUCAAAGAGCGCUAUGUUCAAAAAUCUGAAACUAGAGCUCAAAAUUUGAAAAAAAAAUGGUAAAAAACAGGAGGGUCGGCCUAUUCCGGGGCUUCUAGAGAAAAAUAAUGAAGGGUGUCACGGGGUAUGACUAUAUAGGUCUUGUAGAAAAGAAACAGGCGCUUCUUUUUGCGCAAGGUAUCAAAGGGCGCUAUGUUCAAAAAUCUGAAACUAGAGCUCAAAAUUUGAAAAAAAAAUGGUAAAAAACAGGGGGUCGGCCUAUUCCGGGGCUUCUAGAGAAAAUAAAUAGGGGUGUCACGGGGUAUGACUAUAUAGGUCUUGUAGAAGAGAAACAGGCGCUUCUUUUGCGCAAGGUAUCGAAAGGGCGCUAUGUUCAAAAAUCUGAAACUAGAGCCAAAAUUUGAAAAAAAAUGGUAAAAAAUAGGGGGUCGGCCUAUUCCGGGGGCUUCUAGAGAAAAAUAAUGAGGGGUGUCACGGGGUAUGACUAUAUAGGUCUUGUAGAGAGAAACAGGCGCUUCUUUUGCGCAAGGUAUCGAAAGGGCGCUAUGUUCAAAAAUCUGAAACUAGAGCCCAAAAUUUGAAAAAAAAUGGUAAAAAAUAGGGGGGUCGCCCUAUUCCAGGGCUUCUAGAGAAAAAUAAUGAGGGUGUCACGGGGUAUGACUAUAUAGGUCUUGUAGAAGAGAAACAGGCGCUUCUUUUGCGCAAGGUAUCGAAGGGCGCUAUGUUCAAAAAUCUGAAACUAGAGCUCAAAAUUUGAAAAAAAUGGUAAAAAAACAGGGGGGUCGGCCUAUUCCAGGGGCUUCUAGAGAAAAAAUAAUGAGGGGUGUCACGGGGUAUGACUAUAUAGGUCUUGUAGAAGAGAAACAGGCGCUUCUUUUGCGCAAGGUAUCGAAGGGCGCUAUGUUCAAAAAUCUGAAACUAGAGCUCAAAAAUUUGAAAAAAAUGGUAAAAAAAGGGGGUCGGCCUAUUCCAGGGCUUCUAGAGAAAAAUAAUGAGGGGUGUCACGGGGUAUGACUAUAUAGGUCUUGUAGAAGAGAAACAGGCGCUUCUUUUGCGCAAGGUAUCGAAGGGCGCUAUGUUCAAAAAUCUGAAACUAGAGCUCAAAAUUUGAAAAAAAUGGUAAAAAACAGGGGGUCGGCCUAUUCCAGGGCUUCUAGAGAAAAAUAAUGAGGGGUGUCACGGGGUAUGACUAUAUAGGUCUUGUAGAAGAAGAAACAGGCGCUUCUUUUGCGCAAGGUAUCGAAGGGCGCUAUGUUCAAAAAUCUGAAACUAGAGCCCAAAAUUUGAAAAAAAAUGGUAAAAAAAUAGGGGGCAGCCCUAUUCCAGGGCUUCUAGAGAAAAAUAAUGAGGGGUGUCACGGGGUAUGACUAUAUAGGUCUUGUAGAAGGAGAAACAGGCGCUUCUUUUGCGCAAGGUAUCAAAGGGCGCUAUGUUCAAAAAUCUGAAACUAGAGCUCAAAAUUUGAAAAAAAUGGUAAAAAACAGGGGGGUCGGCCUAUUCCAGGGCUUCUAGAGAAAAAUAAUGAGGGGUGUCACGGGGUAUGAUGACUAUAUAGGUCUUGUAGAAAAGAAACAGGCGCUUCUUUUGCGCAAGGUAUCAAAGGGCGCUAUGUUCAAAAAUCUGAAACUAGAGCUCAAAAUUUGAAAAAAAAAAUGGUAAAAAACAGGGGGUCGGCCUAUUCCAGGGCUUCUAGAGAAAAAUAAUGAGGGGUGUCACGGGGUAUGACUAUAUAGGUCUUGUAGAAGAGAAACAGGCGCUUCUUUU
rnacentral:lncRNA from 1 species